rnacentral:lncRNA from 1 species
UUUGAAGCCACACAAGUAUUCGGCCUCUACAAGUAUCCACACUAGGCUCUGAUCUAAUCAAAGGUAUCUGAUUGGAAUGCUAGCUCUCUUGCAAAGAUCCUUCUUUUAAUGGCAAAUUUCUGAAGGGAAAGAAACUGUUUCUCCUCGGAAGGCCCAGGUUGUAUCUAAAAAAAUUUUUAUUCAUCUACAUGAUUAAGAAUCAAAUCUU